UCCAGGACUCGUGAUAGUUCUGGAUAACAUUUGGGCCAAUACCUGUGGCCUUUUUUAAUAUGAAGCCCAUGAGAGGUGGCAAGCUUUGACAGCGAGCGAGGUAGAUGUUUGGCGAAGACUUUGCUGCUCCGCGAGAUUCGCGAGAUUCUCGUUUAGUUUGCGUAGGAGUCUACAGUACUUGGCGAGGCGAGGCGAGGCGGCGUUAGGUGUCUAACCUUAGUCUAUUGUGACACGCGUCACGUGGAUAACACAGGUCGCUGGCAAGUUGAAUCCAAAUGGGUUUGUGAUUAAGCGAGGUGCUAUAUAAGGGAGCUUGAUGACAACAAAUACACACACAAUCAAUCAUACAAAACAACUGCAAGUCUUCGAGCAUCCUCGAAACCCUAAAGUUCUAAGUGCACCCCACCUUAGUUCUCAGAGCCCGUCUGGACUCGCCUCUCCUUCCUAAUUGUUGCUCUGCUCGCUUCGAACAGUGAGUAUCGAUUCACAGGUGACUAGAAGUUUGCUCGUAAUUCCUCGCCCGCGAGGUGACACCGGAGCUCUCCUUCGCCUGGUUAGAAGUCAAGAACGCGCACCGUUCUCGUUCCGCAUCCGCGCGGUGGCACGCCCUGCAAACCCUAAUUUAUUUUUGGUAGCACAAGUUACCUCUCUACCCCUGCUGAGGAUCGUGGCCAAAACAUUGGCACGCCCAGUGGGACCGGGAGUAUAACAUUCUCGUCAUCAUUGGGAAGUCAGGCGGAUCCCCAUACGGGAGACCCUCGAUUUCUUGUUUGAAACAUAAAUCACCGCGUUACCAGCCUCACAACAGUGCGGCCUGUCGCUCACUCACGAAAGAUCAAGUACUAACUUGGUUCGGAAACCCAGAUUUCAGCGAACCUACGAUGGCAGAACUAACACCCACUAGCAGUACUGGCCUCGUUACUCUAGCUGAAGACCAAAUAACGGCUCUGGUCGAACGCCAAACGGCUCACACAGACCAGGCAACCCGCCAAUUGCAGGAGGGUCUUGACUCCCUCAACUUGAAAGUCGAUACCACCCGGCAAGAUGUCAAGGACCUAUCUGAGAUGGUCAUGAAAGAUAGGACCAUCUGGUUUGCUAACCAAGAAAACCUUUCUAAGCUCAGCGAGGAAUUCAACUUCGUCACCAGUCAAGUCAGGGAGAAUAAGGACAUUGUGGAAGGUUCACUUCAAAGGAUCCAGAAAGAAGUGAACCAGAGCAAGGCGGCUUUCACAGAAACUCUGAAGCUUACCCGCGCAACCGUGGAUGAGCAAACCCGUCGCUUGGACGAGCACGAUACCAAGCUACAAUUGCAGCAAGACGCUUCCUUCUUUGGAAGUAAGAAUGGCAUAGAAAAGCUCGAGAAAUACAAAGAACGACAUGAUAAUCUGAGCUUAAGGGUCCUACAAGUGGAAGACUGGAUGUGGUCUCAAGCGCCAAAAAAUCAUGCUCUGAACUUAAUUAGUUCAAAUGCAACUGAGGGAUCAAGGUAUAUUCCACCUAAUGAACGCCCUAGGGGAAAUCCGAAGGUCGGGGCUCAGAAGACUCCCGAAUUCACAUUAGGGGGCAGUUCGUCAAAGACACCACCCCUUCUACCUUCGCCGCAUAGUCCUGGAGUUACACUAAGGAACGCUGGUAGUUCUCCAUAUCAAGGGACCGGGACACCAGAUGACCCAGUUCUAGCUUAUGGUAGUUCAGCCUCUAAGAACAUCGUGCAGGCCCCUAGCCUCUCUGCAUGGCAUAGCCACGAUCAGGGGGCAGAAUCCACACCAGUAACGGCAGCCGAUUGGCGCCAGCUCAUCUCGAGCAUAGUGAAGGAGCACACCGGAAAAGGUGAUGCUAACUUGCACUAUCUUGACCCCUAUCCUGAUAGCGUGGCACAAUAUCCCUUCCCUCAUGGGUUUAAGAAUAUUGUCUUCACCACUUUCUCUGGGGAGACAAGAGAAGAUGCGGUAACACACAUGGCUCGUUUCAAGGUCCAAUGCGGCCAAUACGGGAAUGAUGAUAUGCUCAAACUCAAACUCUUCGGGACUUCUCUGUCCGGGGCUGCUUUCACCUGGUACUCCAGAUUGAAGCCUGGGUCAAUAGCAGAUUGGCCCACUAUGGAAAGACUCUUCCGAGAAACGUACGGCACGAUUGAGCCUGAAGUUGGCCUCGAUUCCCUCACACAGAUGAGCCAGCAGAGCAUGGAGUCCGGAGUUUCUUUCCUCCAACGCUUCAAGAUCCAGCAAGCCAAGUGUGAUUACCUGCUACCUGAGCAGGAAGCCAUUAAGUUAGCUAUUAGAGGCCUGGAGCACCGCCAGCGGUUGAAGCAUCAUGGAGAGCGCUUUAAUUCCAUGGGUGACCUGAUUAACAAAGUUGGCAGCUACGAGCUAAUCCUGAACGAGUUGGAUGACAAAACAAAUGCUUCCAAGGGAACUUACAUACCAGGGAAGAAUCGGACAGUGGGGGCACUAAACAUACAAACCUCUACUUAUGAUCCAUAUUAUCAAAGAUCUGAGGAAUCUCAUACGGAUUAGGACCUGGAUGACGUUGGCACAGUAGAAUUGACUGGCAAGCCAUUAGCUCAUAAGUUGAAAAACCUGAAGAUGACACGUGAGCCAAUCACCAUCCAGUCCUUUGCAUAGACCAAGCCGGAGUACGAGUCGUACACCUAUGAUGCUAAGAAUGCCCAUUUGGUCUUUAAUGACCUGAUAGAGGCGAGAUAUGUACGCCUGGAUCAUAAGAUCCCGCCCAAGGAAGAGUUGAAGGACAAGAAGUACUGUGCCUUCCACAAUGUUUACAAUCAUGACACUAAAGAUUGUGUCAAACUUCGAGACCAAUUACAAACAUGGUUAGACUCUGGCGAACUAAAGAUGAAAACUCCGGGUAGUACCGCCUCUUUGGUCGAUAUAGACCCUUUCCCGCCUGUAGUUGGCAUGGUCAAAAUAAACUGGGCCGAUCAGGCCGAGGACGAAGAUCGACGCCGGGCACCCAAAAGGGGCCGCGAGGAAGGCGACGAUGAUGCCCGUCAGCCGCGUCGCCAAUAUACCUACAACGUCGACCUUGCUCACGAGGUCUUAGACGAUCUUAUUGAUGACGGACUCGUCACAGUGGCCGCUUCCUUGCCUUACAUAGAGUACAAAGAAGGGCGCAUUCACUGCAAGUUCCAUAAUAGCUGGGGGCAUAGAACCUGCGAAUGCCAACAACUCAGAGACUAGGUUCAAGAUUGGCUCAAUCUCAGGUACAUUCACUUUGAGAAUAAGGGCGAUUAUAUGAUCACAACAGUUGACAUUGCGUGGCCUCGUGUCGGUCACUGAAGAAUAACAUUAGACUUGUCACCAAAUACAAGUUUACGUGAACCGCCAGGCCGACAUCGCAAACGGCCGGCGAAUAAUAAUUCUGUUCCAAGUAGCCGGAAGGGGAAAGUAGACGACCCGGCUCAGCAGUUGGUCGCUAAGCCUGAACCAGACCGCCCCUCUUGCAAGGAUAAGGGCAAAGCAGUCAUAAGGGACGACAAACCGUCCCCUAGUGAACAUUACCAGCCUAUGAGUCCUAAGACCCGAACAGAGCUGGAGCGGAGGAUAGAACGUAUUGAGACAUUCGUCCACACACAUUGGACAGAAAAAAUACCUUCGUCCCCUGCCAAAAGCGACAUGGACGUGUCGGACUCCAGCAGUGACCGUCACGACAACGAGGUCCAGAGUCCUCGUAAAGGUAUCUUGACCGACCCCUAUAUUCCCCCAACGUCCAAAUCAUCAAUCAAGGACGGGGUUUGGUACACGCAGCAGGGGGGCAAGGCAGUUACCAUCAGCAAGGCCAGAAAAAGAAAACUCCAAAAACGGUACUGCAGCAUCAUGCGGGCUUUACGUGUUGUCGACGAGGGCGCUGUACGCCCCUCACAGCUCGCUCAGACACCUGAGCGGAUGUGGAGGGAGGCAGAGGGUUUGCGCACAUUCCUUCAAAUGCCGCCUGUCACACCCCCAAUGAUUUGCGAGCAGUUCAUAGACGAGCCAGCACCCAAGGCAAACGUCUUCUGUCGACUCACGGUUCCACCGAAGCAGAACCUACAGCAUUCUAGGUCCAGACCGUCACCAGAACCUGAAAAGAGAAGGGAUCCACAACCUUCUAGACCCAGACCAUCACCGGAACCUCAAAGGCGUAAGGAUCCACAACGUUCCAGGUACGGGCAGUUUCCUAAACAUGUCAGAAGAAGGGAUUCCUCAGCUCCCAGGCGCAGAUUGUCCCCGGAACAGGAACGAAGACGGAACUCACAAGUUCCUCGGCGCAGGCUAUCUCCAACAUCGGAACCUGAGAGGAGGAGGGAACCACCUACUGGUCCUAGGCCUAAGUUGUUAAUGACCCCAGAAACAGAGCGCGAACCGCCUCAGCCCUCACGGCGCCGGGACCCUAAAAAUCCGGAGGCCAAUACCAACAGAGAGCCACCACAACCACAUCUGCCUCAGGCACGAUCUACACCAGAACCCGAGGCUCGGAUGGUCCCCCGAGUGUCCGCCUUGCAACGGUUGCAAAAGGCGGACAACGAUAAAGCCCCCGUGAUGCCAGAUAAACAACUAGCAGGGGAUCGGCAGCCUUCCGCUAAGACAGUGUGGCGUCCGCGGCAAACAAAGGCUCCGGAGCCACCAGUGGCCGCACAGGUGCCUUCUAGUCCUAACCUCGUUGUGCAGAUGGCUCAGAGAUUCCGCGAGAAUUCAGCGGAUGAUGAGGCACACUCCGAAUCACGACUUAACCUUGAAGUAGACCAAGAAGAAGAGCAGGCGGAUUCAUUCACCUGUAAUAUGGUAGAGGUCUCAGGAUGGUUGGCAGAAGAAGAGUUUUGCCGCGAAGCAGACGCUUUCGCGGUGCUCGAAGGGGAACACGGGGUCAUACACUCUCCGCUGGUCCCGGUUCACAAACAAUUCUCCUUUCAAGUGGGGAUGGUUUUCUUCAUAUCGGAGAGAUAUGCUCUUCCGCCAAAUACAACUUGCAGUGCGGCGGAUAUUCCAGUCAGCAGCGAGGGUGUCAGUAACAUACCCCCGCCAUGCAGCAGCGAAAUGGGACCACUUCCGGCACUAACCGACGAGGCCCCGCAAGUGGAGAUUACAAGCAGCAUCACACAUAAACAAACUCUUACCUUCUCCACACCAACCUUAGACAUGGCCACUCACAUGCGGCCACUCUAUAUCACGGCUGAAAUCGAAGGGAAGAUGAUCAACAAAGUCAUGGUCGAUACAGGCGCUACGGUCAAUGUUGUUACAACCCGCACCAUGGGACUCCUAAACAUCCCGCGCUCGAUGAUCUAGACUACUUCUUUAACAGUCAAGAACUUCACCGGUCAGGUGUCCAGGACCCUAGGCUUACUCUUUUUACGAGUUAAGGUCGGGCCGUCAUCACAGGUUUACACCUUCUUCGUAGCCGAAUGCUCUUCCUCUUACAGCAUGAUCCUCGGCCGAGACUGGAUCCACAGAAGUUUUUGCGUGCCUUCCUCCAUGCACCAAGAACUCAUGAUCUGGGACACCGUGAAGCGAGAAGCGGUCAUCAUCAAAGCCGACCCGCGGCCAUUUUCUAUUUCCGCCAACUUCAACGAUGCCCGAUAUUAUACCACAGACCUGGGCCCGUUGGACGUACAAGGAGUCGAUGACAAAGGUCGCCCAUACGGGGUAACGGCCUCCAACCUAGCGCGAUGGGGACUUACCCAGGCGAAGGACGAUUUGCAACGUCCUCACACCAUCGCCGAUUCCACACCCCGCUCUGAUGGAUAGUGCCUUCUCAAAAGAGACACGCGAGGCUGGCGAGUCCUUGUGCGAAAGACUCCUUUCGUACUGGGCAGAACGCGAAGCCUACGACAAGGUCGCGACUAUGGAAUAUGUCGACGAAGUGGUGGACUAUACAGAUACCAAGGAAGAAACUAUUCAGUUAUCACCCGCCGCUUUGGACGAUACACCACCUCAAGUCCGCGACCCCAUCUCACAAGUUGACGUAGGGACAGCAGACAAGCCUUUACUUAUUUCCAUCAGUGAUAGGCUGGCGGAGGAUGAAAAAGAAGACCUUCUUACCCUAUUACACGAAUACAGGGACUGCUUUGCCGACAAGUACGAGGACAUGCCUGGUUUGUCCCUGGAUUUGGUUUUCCACCGGUUGCCAACUUAUCCUGACCGCCGUCCAGUACGGCAAGACGGCCGGUUCAUGCGAACUGAGACUCAGAUCGUCGUCAAGGAAGAAAUCGAAAACAUGCACCGAUCGGGUAUCAUUCGCGUGGCGAAAUAUAACCAGUGGUUAUCCAAUGUUGUCCCCGUCCGUAAGAAAAAUGGCAAAAUGCGCAUCUGUGUUGAUUACCGCGACUUAAACAAUGCAACGCCAAAGGAUAUAUACCCUAUGCCUGUGGCCGACCUCCUCAUCGACGCAGCUGCGGGGCACGAAGUGCUGUCCUUCAUGGACGGAACAGCCGGAUACCACCAGAUUCUCGUCGCUGAGGAAGAUCGCCACAAGACGGCUUUCCGAUGCCCUGGUUUUGCCGGCGCUUUCGAAUAUGUUGUUAUGCCUUUCGGCCUUAAGAACGCGGGGGCAACAUACCAGCGCGCCAUGAACCUCAUCUUUCAUGACAUUUUAGGGAAGUUGAUCGAAGUUUACAUUGAUGAUGUGGUGGUCAAAACCAAAACACGAGCAACCCACGUUGCAGACCUGCGCCAAGUGUUUACACGGAUGCGCCGACAUAACCUGAAGAUGAACCCCGCCAAGUGCGUAUUCUUCGCAGAAGCUGGCGAUUUCCUUGGUUUUCUAGUACAUCAAAUGGGCAUUGAAAUACCAAAGGACAAGGCGGAGGCGGUAAUCACCGCUUCACCUCCCACCACCAAGAAUGAGCUUCAACAGUUGCUUGGGCGAAUCAACUUCCUCCGCCGUUUCAUAUCAAACGCGGCAGGGAAGGUUCAACCUUUCUCACCCCUACUCAAGCUCCAGGGGGCAACCGAGUUCGUCUGGGAACCCCAACAUCAACAGGCCUUCGAUCGAAUCAAGGACUACCUUACCAACCCACCAGUCUUGAUCCCGCCUCACGUACGUUUGCCGCUUAAACUUUAUAUCGCCGCGGCUGACUUGUCCAUCGGCGGCCUCUUGGCCCAAGACGACGAAAACGAGGUGGAGCACGCUGUUUACUACCUCAGCAGGGUGUUAACUGACUGCGAAACACGCUACUCACCUAUGGAGAAAUUGUGUCUCGCUCUAUAUUUUGCGGGAUGCAAGCUGCGCCAUUACAUGCUUGCCUUUACCACGGUUAUGAUCGCUCAAUCCGACCUGGUCAAAUACAUGCUCUCACGCCCUAUCUUACGGGGACGCAUAGGCAAGUGGAUAUUGGCCAUGUCCGAAUUCUCGUUGCAAUAUGUUCCGCAAAAGGCAGUAAAAGGACAGGCAAUAGCAGACUUUCUAGCUCAUCACCCACCUUCAGGGCUCACGGCGUUUCUCGAGUUAGAUUUCGCUGCUGUAACACUCGCUCCAUGGACCCUUUACUUUGAUGGAUCACGAACUGAAACCGCAGCCGGAGCAGGGAUAGCCAUAGAAAAUCCCGCAGGGGAUCGCUUCUCCUACUCGUUCCAGCUCGAUUUCAAAUGCACUAAUAACCAGGCCGAAUACGAAGCGCUCAUCAUCGGGCUGGAAAUUUUGUUGGACUUAGGAGUCCGCGAAAUCCAGGUCUUUGGCGAUUCUCUGUUGGUCGUCAACCAGCUGGUGGAGAAGUUCAAGUGCUUAAGCUUGUCCAUUGAACCAUACCUGCGUAAGGCAUUUGCAGUACUGGAUCAAUUUGAAGACGUCUACAUCGAGCACAUUCCACGCGAGUUCAACUUCGCCGCCAACGAGCUCGCCCAAGUAGCGUCCGGCCUUACCCUGCGCGAUGGCGUGCGCGAACGUUUGCUCAAAGUCGAGCGCCGUACCCUUCCCUCUUUCAUCACAAGGGGGCAAUUUCAAACCGACAUCCCCGAAGUCGCGACCUUAGACCCUAUCGAUGAGGACUGGCGGCUACCAUUUAUCGCCUACCUCCAGAAUCCCAUUGAUGCCGCUCACUCAAGGCAGAUACGUUUCCUCGCAUUAAACUUUGUUUUACGAAAUAGCGAACUACGCCGGCGAGUAGAAGACGGCAACGACUUUCGCUGCGUAUAUGGGAACGAGGCUAAACGUCUCAUGCGCAAAGUACAUUGUGGGGUUUGUGGUUCGCACCAGGCAGGGCCAAAAAUGCGUUGGUUGAUCAGGCGCCAUGGAUACUAUUGGCCGACCAUUUUAAAAGACUGCAUCGCCUUUGCCAAAGGUUGCCAAGACUGCCAGGCCCACGGACCAGUGCAACACAUACCCAACAUUCCAUUACAGCCUAUCAUUAAACCCUGGCCGGGUCGCGGAUGGGCGAUGGAUUUCAUUGGCAUUAUUCAUCCAUAUUCUUCUGAGCAGCAUAAGUUCAUUAUCGUCGCCACCGAUUUUUUUACUAAAUGGGUCGAAGUAGAACCGCUCAAGGUUGCCUCCUCUAACUCAGUCCGCAACUUCAUUUUCCGCAACAUUAUAUCCCGCUUUGGUAUUCCGGAGUGCAUCGUUACGGACAGGGGGGCAGCUUUCAUGGCCGAUUCCGUCGUUAAAUAUUUAAACAACUAUGGAGUCAAACUCCUCCACUCUACACCAUAUUAUGCACAGUCCAACGGCCAAGCCGAGGCCAGUAAUAAGGUCAUCCUUGGCAUUCUCCGGAAGAUGCUGGAGUUAAAUCCACGUGUCUGGCAUGAAGAGCUUUACCACAUAUUGUUGGCUUACCGCACUUCAAGACGCGGCCCAACGGACACUACCCCAUAUGCUCUUAUGUAUGGUCAUGAUGCCGUCCUCCCCCUUGAGAUCAAUAUAGCUUCGCUCCGCGUCCAGGAACAACACCAACUACUUGGCAAAGAUUACGUCCAGGCUAUGUGGCAGGAGCUUGAAGAUCUCGAUGAACACCGCGUCACCGCUUUCAAUAAUCUUAUCCUCGAGAAACAGCGCAUCGCGCGGUCGUACGACAAAGUCACGAGAGGACGAAGUUAUGCCGAGGGCCAAAAGGUGUGGCGCGCUGUCCUUCCACUCGGGGAAAAAACCGAGGGCCGAGGCAAGUGGUCAGCCCGAUGGGAGGGACCUUUCAUUAUUCAUCGUAUACUCCCCAAGGGGGCAUAUCACUUACGCGACAUAGACGGCACCAUUCAUCGCAAUCCUAUUAAUGGCCGUUUCCUCAAACGACACAUUGCUGGAGUUUGGGAGCGCGAGGAUCCUUCCCCAAAGCCCGUCACCACUGUCAAUAGUGCUACGCGCCAUCGCGUUCUCGCUUCGCAGCCCAGCACUAGGGGCAACCCGAGAUAGAAGAAACAGCAAACAAUUGUAACGCACCAGCCUAAAAAGGCCAGUGCUAGAUUUGGGCCUAUUCCAGAGGCCCUAAGAAAUAAGUUCAUCCAUUUUCUUCAUUUUCUGUAAACGUGCAAAGUCUAAACACAAAGACAAGUACAAGAUUGGGGCCUAUUCCAGAGGCCCUUAAAAAAUAAAUUUAUUUAUUUUCCCCUCUUUGGCGUUCCUAAUACAGAUUCCAUACGUGGCUUUGCGGCCGAAGCAAUUACAUUGAUGGAAAGGAUGAAAUGUUUACAUUCAAAAACUAGGUCUAACGAUAUUGAUAACCUCAACCCGCAUGUCUUGCAGGGUUGAAGAAGAGGCCUCCACCGCCGCCGCGUUCAUCGGUUAAGGCGGGCGAACGUCCCGCUUCCUCAGGCCGGCACAAGCCUGGACACCGGGGUCCCUCAUGCUACCAGUCACACCUCGAAGGUGCGUCAAGGACACUGGCCGGGGCCUAGAGCACAAGCGGGUACGGAACCUCAAGAACCUCACGUUUGGACAGAACAGCUGGGGCAAGGCAGAAGGCACCUGGACCAUUUGUUUGUCCAAACAAAGGCUUGGCCUGAGAGUAGAUUUUCAGACUCACUCCCGGCCUGAGAGUAGAUUUUCAGACUCAAAAGGAACGAGGGGUAGAGUUAGAAAUUGGAGGUUUUGCUUUAAGCAAAGACAGUGAGAUGAGGAGAAGGGGAGAAAAACCCAUGGCAGUGGGUGUAAAAGACUCGGUUGAUGCCUCACUUCAACCAAGAGGUUUGUUUUUAUAGGCGAAAGAGGCCGAUUUGUCCCUUUGACAAAUGUCUUACAUGCAGCGAUUUGCUCCGAGAUGUGAGCUUUGGAGGUAAAGUUGGAUGCGUCAUUCCAUGAUAAUUGCCCACGCUCCAAGCAGGCAGUUGCAUUGGAAACCUCCACCAAAUCUCAGAAAAAGAUUUUUUCCUGGAAAAGCAGCUUUUACACAAGGAAGAUUUGACAAAAGCGGGAAAGAUUUGAUUUCCAUGUGGAUAUUAGAAUAUUACUAUUUAUAAAGGUUCAUACAGAAGGGGCACAAUACUAACUGGGCCUAAAUCCGCCUAGAAGCCCUAUACAAGUCUAGGAGAAGGCCUUCUAAGGCCAACUCUUCAGCAUCCAACUGGGCUUGGGCUUCAUCCGCAGCGGCAGUAGCUGAGUCCAAAGCCUCUUGGGUCUCCUCCACAGCCUGCACACGAGCCUCUGUGUCUUCAGCUUGUGCAAGGUUUUGGCGAGCUUGAGCAAGUUGAGCUUGCAGCUCCGCUAUCUGGGUCUCCAAGGCCUCCACUUGCCGGGCAUAAAUAAUACAUGGGUUCUCUGAAGACGCCUCAGGAACAUUAACGUCUUCAAGUUCAGCCAAAAGGACUGCCAUGUGAUUGUUUAAGGCCUGGCGAACUCCCUCUUGGGCAGCUGACUGGGCACCGGCAUCUUGAACUCGGCGAGGCUGCAGCUCGACAGCAUCAAUAAGUUCCAAAGCAUGGUCUAAGGCUGGGGUGCUGCUGGCAAGGUGGCGAAUCAGAGUUCCAUGAGCCUCGCGGGCACGCCUCACCAAGUCGAAAACAUUCAUGUGAGGACCUUGGCGUAGUAGCCCGUGAAAGAAACUCCGGGCUAAGCGAAUGAUCUCUGGAUCGGCAGGCGGGGUGACCCGGGCCCGAAGACGAGCGGUCCGGAUAGCCAAAGAAGAAACCGCCUCGCCAGAUGUUCUCAUUAGGGCCGGAGUAGUUGGUUCGACCUCUGCAACGGUCUCGCUCUCUGGAGCGGAUGGCGGAACCUCAGAUCGCGUUGGGUCUGUUGUUGCUUCAAUAGUCUGGGCCACUGAGUCUGGUUGCAAAGGAGAAGACUCAAACACUGGUUGAAUAUCCUCUGGCGGGAUCGCCAAGGAGGCAGUGAAGUCAGAGAGUAGGUUAGUUCGGUCGAAACCCUCGCCCCGAGCAGGAACCAAGGUAAACUUUGGAGAAGGAUCAGUUUCGCUGGCAACGCCGAUUGGGGAAACGGGCAGCACGUUCACUUCCUCGAUGAACGCGGUUUGUUCCUCGACCACUGGUUCCGGGAUAGGGACUUCAACUAUCCCUGUUUCUCCUUCAAUAGCGGCGAGGCGAGGACGGAUGCGGCGGCGAACCUAUCAAAUGCAAAGUUAGUAAGUCGUUUUUUUUGGCCUUGGUAAGAUCGGCUUGAAGAAAAUUUGCUUACCAAACCAUACUCUUGCCGAUAUCGUUCUUCCUCUAGCAGCUCUUCCUCGUCCUCGGCAGGGCGCUUGCGAGAGCUUUCUCCGUUUGUUGAUUGAGGGAUGAUGGGAGCAGUCUCACCAUCAUGUUCCGCCACGAGCUCUUCUUGAGCAGGUGCUUUCCCCUUAUCUCCGGUAGCCUCGGGUCUCCUCGCCGAUCUCCGGCAGGGUACAGCCUGUAAAGGUAAACGAGAGAAUUAGGAGGAAGUAUUUUAGUAGUAAAGGCGGUAUGAGAAUUACAUUGGUUAGUAGCUUACCUCGGGUGCAGAAUCGUGUUCUCGAAUCACGAUCCCGGUCUAACGGCGAGUAGCAGGAACUGGCGGGGGUCCAAGCCUAGACCUUGUCAGAGUCCUUUGGCUGCCCUCCGCGCGCUCGCGCUGAGCAUCAAGGACGACGCGAUCCGAUUCACCCAGCUUGUUGUACAGUGGAUCAAAGAUGGCAGCAAAAACAGCGUCAUCUGGAAAUUCCCAGUUGUUGUCUGACAGAGAUCGACACCAAGAAAGGUAGGCGGGGUCAACGCCUAGUGAAGGCUCAAUUUCGAGCAAGUCGGGAGUGAGAGGAAAAAUAUUUUGCAGCGGAGUGACCCGAUCCGUCUCGCCGAUCUUGCGCCAGGAUGUGUACUUGUUCACUGAAUGGAAGAGUGGAUAAGGGACCCCUUGGAAAAAGCCAAGCUGCCUGGCGAAGUGAUUGGGAGCAUAGAGCUCGAAGCCUUGUUCAUCCUCGGCGAGCUGAAGGUCGCAGCACGAGGUCGCCCUCAUGAAAGUUGUCUUGGCAUCCGAGUCCGAGUCGGAGCAAGGGAAGAACCCCGCCAACAAGACUUCAGGGUGGCGCCGGCGGACCAUCAUGUCUAUGGUAGGGGGCGGCUCGAGUUGAUUGUACAAGAUGGAGAGGCUGGCGAAGAAGGACAAAGGAGUCCGAUCCGCGGAGUUCCUACACACAGCGAACCCAAGCAGUUCUUCCUCGGAUAGGAACUCAAGUGGAGCCCGCUGGAAGAGCGGGAAAUAUAGCUGCAUCCAUAAAUCCAAAACCCAUAGCGGACCAGCAGAGAGAUGGAAGGGCUUUAGGGAGAGUGUAUGAAGGGUCCGGUAGAGCGCGCCCAGCACAGACUGCCCUAACCCUACUUCGAUCCCGUUGUAGAGUGCUUCGGCUAGUUUGGUCCAUUUCCCUGUAGGCUUAUGAGCGCUGCCACAGAAUACGAAUUUAUCAAGCCAAUAUUCAAGGAAAGCGAUACCUCCUUCAUGACGUUCUGCAUGGCCGAUGUAGUAUUUCCUCCAUACUGCAUACGAGCCUUUCAGGGCGCGGCGAGCCCCCAAGUUGCAGGAGUACGUGAAUUCGGUCGAUGCAAAGUCGCCUGGCACAUAUGGCUUAGCAUGGAUGGGCAGCCCUGUGAUGGCAAGGAUGUCCAGCAGGGAAACACUCAUCUGUCCGAAAGAGAAAUCGAAGGUGUUGGUGGCACUGUUCCAUAGACAAGCUGCAGCGGCAAUUGGUGCUCGAUCAGCAUGAGGGGGCAGCGAGAAACUUAAGGCAAUGGCCUCGCGGAUGCCUGCUGCUUCCCAGAUUGUUUGAUCGGUCUUUUGGCGAGCCGCAUACCAUGCUCGGUCUUCCCCGGUGGCGGUGGGCCAUUCCCCGACCCGGAUGUUUGUGUGAGAACGGGCCUACUGAAACCAGGAGGCGAAAUUUCCCGGUUCGCGGCGUUGGGCAAGAAUAGGACGGCGCACAGAGUCAGCAUAAUGGUUGAGGUCGGCGGCUGACAAAGGCCGUGAUGGCGUCGGGCCAAGCAGGGCGGCUCCUGUUUCAAGGAAAUAAAUAGGUGUCCCUUGAGGAGGGUUGUUGCUAAAGCGGUGAGCAAAGUUAGUUGACCAGGAGAUCGCCGCCGUGAGGUUAAGAUUUGGGUCUCUAACAGCCGGUUUGGGAACCAUUUUUCUGGGUUGGGCGAAGUGCGGCGGUGAGGUUUGUUGUUUGCAGAGAGAAAGAGAAAGUUUGGUUGGAAAGUGAUGGUAAGAUGUGGGGACCCGCAUCGAGGCUUAUAAAGGGACGGACCGUAACGUCUUUUCAAUCAAUAGCCGUAGUGAAGAGACGCGAUGACGAUCGAAACGUCAACACGUUUCAAAUUUCGAACAGUCGUAAUGAUGAAGGGAGGCGAUGACGCCGAAACGUCAGCACCUUUCGAAUUUCGAAUUUCCGUAACAUAUUUAUUAAGGCCUUUUCGCUUAUCCGUUGCGAAAUGGUUUAAGCUCAAGGCCUAGGGGGCAAUGUUUGAGCCCAGCGAGAUUUUUGGUCCAGGACUCGUGAUAGUUCUGGAUAACAUUUGGGCCAAUACCUGUGGCCUUUUUUAAUAUGAAGCCCAUGAGAGGUGGCGAGCUUUGACAGCGAGCGAGGUAGAUGUUUGGCGAAGACUUUGCUGCUCCGCGAGAUUCGUGAGAUUCUCGUUUAGUUUGCGUAGGAGUCUACAGUACUUGGCGAGGCGAGGCGAGGCGGCGUUAGGAGUCUAACCUUAGUCUAUUGUGACACGCGUCACGUGGAUAACACAGGUCGCUGGCAAGUUGAAUCCAAAUGGGUUUGUGAUUAA
rnacentral:lncRNA from 1 species